GAGAUUCUUAGACUUUCACUCAAAAAAACCGAUGUCUUAGAUCUCUUAACUUCCACAAGAACAACAGGACAACCUGUUGUAGAUGAUUGGGACUGCUACAAGACUCUGGUUAAAAGUUUCAAGAAUCAAUGUGGAGCAAAGAUGGAAUACGAUAUGAAGUAUGCAGGAGCACUUGCCAAUAUCUGCAAUAUGGGAGUGGAUGUGAAGAAAAGUGUUGCAGCUAUUGAAGAAGCUUGUGCCCAUUAAAUUAUAUGCAAAAAAUAAUAUUGUGAUCGCCUUAUAAAUAUGAAAGUUAUUGCAUAACAUUUGAUUGUGUGGAGAUGGUUGAUGCCUAUUUUACUUGAUAACGCGAAAGUCUUGGUCUUAAAUUGGAUUCAUAGUAUAAUAACCUCGUACCAAUUCUAGUUUCAAGAAUUCACGCGAAAGUCUUGGUCUUAAAUUGGAGAAUGAGUAAGUGAUCGGAUAAGGCUCGGCGGCACUCGAGUCAACAUCUCGUAUUCACGUGUUAUGCUU